UGGAAUGGAUCUGGAAUGACUUUGAAAAUGGUAAGGAAAAUAAAAUAAUAAAUAACAUUAAACAUAUUAAAAUUGUCCUAGGGAAUAAUUAUACAACAUUACUUAAUUACUUAAAACAAUUAAUAUUAACAUUACUUAAUUACUUACAAAAAUUAACAUGCAAGUAAUUACUUAAAAAAAUUAACAUACGAGUCCACACAAAUUUAUUUGUUGUUGUAUAAAUUACAAUAAUAUAAAUUUAAGUUUGUAAACUUACCUUAAAUAUGGAAGCCUUUGUGUUGCUUGGCUAUGGAAAGGAUCUGGAAUGGUUUUGAAAAUGGUAUGGGAAGAAGAAUGUAUGUUAAAAUUCGGUGAAUGCCUCUGAUACUCCACUGGAUGAAAGAAUGUAAGUAUAUAACAGACAUUGACACUGUUUUGCAUGUGAAAGACAUUGACACUGUUUUGCAUGUGAAAGACUGUCACACGCUUUCAUUAUGAAAGCAGUAGUAUUUGUUGUGCAUGUUUUGAAAUUGCAAAAAGUUCUUUGGAUCAUUGGAUCAGAGAGGUAGACAUAGGUUUGGAAUGAUUUGGUUUUGAAUAAUUUGGAGCAUUUGAUGCUUUUUUUUUCUUACACGCCAUCACUCAGACAGUCAAAAAGACUGAAGAACUCACACUCCACCACACACACACUUCGAGACCCCCCCCCACACAACACCACACACGUACACCACACACGGAGGUCUCUCUCUCGAUCUUUCAUUUCCCACUCCACUACCAUAUUCUCGAAUCCUCUCAAUCUCUCUCUUCUCUCUCUUCUCUCUCUGAGGUCGGUCUGAGCCUUCGUUCUCACCGAGAACUUCUCAGUCUUCUCCCUCCCUUCCCCCUUCUCCAGUUCUUCCACACACA
rnacentral:lncRNA from 1 species